AUUCAGCCUGAAUAAAAAAAAGUAAACCUAGUUCCUUUCAUAUCCUCUCCAAAGAAACGAAAAAUCCUCUUCUUCCUUGCACUCUUUCUCUCUUUUUCCUUUUAAUUCGUUUACAAUCUAUUUCUUAAUCUAUGUAGAACCUUCAGAUAAUUCAAGUUUAAACCCUAACAAUAAUGAGAAGUUUGACAAACUUAUCGAUAUCAUUGUUAAUAUCAAUCCCUACCAAUCAACCCUACCAAUCGCUUGAUCCUUCAUUUUUGUUCCGUUUUGCCGCAAAUCUGUAGUGCGUAGUUCCGAAAUCGGUCGUUCUACUGCUCCAAUCGUCCGUUCAACUGCUCCAGUAAGGUUUUUUACUGCUCGACAAUCCCCAAUUUCGCAAUCGGCCAAUUUCAAGGAUCAAACCAAGUGCCCCCCAAUCCAGCAUACGCAUGUGAAAUGGUUCUGUCAUGUUUAUAAAAAUAAGAAGGGCGAGUGAUAUACAAAAUAGAGAUGCCUAAGCACAUGAAUAAUUCUGGUAUAUAAUCAAUAAUUAUGCCAAGCUUUAUUUUCUCAUAGUGUAAUGAUUAAGAAACACCUAAUUAUAUGAUUUACUUCUUCACACAUAAAAUGUGUCACUUUGGGAUGAUAAUAUUUAUCAAUCUAUACCAUUAAUUUCUAAAGAGAAUUUCUUCAUUUAUGGAUUCCAUGGAAUUAACUUGUCUUUAUGUGCUUUGUAAAUAAUCUUGCGCAUUACAUUUUGUUAAGAUACCAAACCCUAUAGUAUUAGAAUUCUCUAUAAUUUGUGCGAGAGAGUGAACUGUAGCAAACAUAAAGAAACCUUUCUAAACUAAUCCAUAUAGAUAUUAUUUAUGUUUAAGUAUUGUUGUAAAACUUCAUUGUUUAUAUGCAAACAAAAUACUUCAGUUCACCUCUUCAUCACUAGCUAUAGCUAAUGACUCAUCUCUUCCUUAACUUCUAGAAACAGUACUUCUAGCUCUGCUUCUGUUAGUGACUCUAAUCGUUUCUACAUAUUCAAUAGAAGCAAGCUUAUUCUAUGACAUUAAGUAUUGAGAAAAAGAAACAAUGUUAACAAAUAUCUUGGUGAAGACACAAGUUUCAGUUCAUAUACUAUAGAUCGCUCAUCUUAAAGGGAGAACAGUAAAUGAAGAUGUGUUAUGUUGUCUCAUAAGAGUUCAUGCAAAGGAGGCAGACGGAGACCAUGUGGCAGCCUUGAGCUCGGUGCUGAAAGAGUGAGAAAGAGGGAUUAAACUACACCACGUCUUCUUAUCUUAAGCCUUGAUUUCAGUUGGAGGAUGAAGGUGCAAGUAGUAAUCUUUGGCUCUUAGUUCUCUGUCUUAGGUUUGCUUCUAGACAAGCUUGUCGGAAAAGUUGCGCAGGAGGUCUCAUGUGUUUGGAUUUGGACCAACAAUGAAGAUAGUAAUUUAAAUCAGAUGCCCCAGCCUUUUGUUUUGGUGGAUUCUUAGCCGAAUCAACUUAUUACUCAUGAAGACCGGACACCUCCUUCAUAGCUCAACAGUGAGGAAUAUACGUAUAGUUAUGGUGAUUUGGUUUUGGGAGACAACUCUCAUAGAGGAAUAGGUUUCCCUGCUGAACAUUAUAAGACCCCAAAUGGCAUUGGCACAUCAUCUAAAUGGAUGCUACUGUCAACCUCAAAAGAUUAAAGUCUUCUAAAGAAUCCAUGGUACUAUUAUGCACCCCUCAUGUCAAAGAUCCAAUGUUAUUCACGUAGUCUUAUGUUUUUAUUUUAAGUUUAUUGUUUUGGCUUAUUGAAUUUAAUUUUACUAUUUGAUAAUCAAAAGCUUUGAGAUUUUCAGUUAAACAAUGUUGUAGUCUCAAAUAUCCUUGUAUUUAUAUCAUUAAUUACCUGUAAAAGAUGUAGUCCCUUGAUUAUUUGGGCUGGAUGGUGGAAAUAGUUUGGCUUGGAAA